CCCUUAGAUGUUCUGGGCCGCACGCGUGCUACACUGAGUGGAUCAGCGGGUCAGGUUGCGCGAAAGCGUUUCCUAAUCUUUAAAUCCGCUCGUGAUGGGGAUUGACGGUUGCAAUUUUCUGUCAUGAACGAGGAAUACCUUGUAAGCGCGGGUCAUCAUCCCGCGCUGAAUACGUCCCUGCCCUUUGUACACACCGCCCGUCGCACCUACCGAUUGAAUGGUCCGGUGAAAUCUUCGGAUUGAGACUUUGAUUUCUUCACGGAAAACGCUGUUUUAAAAAGUUGAUUAAACCUUACCAUUUAGAGGAAGGUGAAGUCGUAACA
rnacentral:rRNA from 1 species